rnacentral:rRNA from 1 species
CCUACGGGUGGCAGCAGUGAGGAAUAUUGGUCAAUGGACGAGAGUCUGAACCAGCCAAGUAGCGUGAAGGAUGACUGCCCUAUGGGUUGUAAACUUCUUUUAUAGGGGAAUAAAAUGUGCCACGUGUGGGAUUUUGUAUGUACCAUAUGAAUAAGGAUCGGCUAACUCCGUGCCAGCAGCCGCGGUAAUACGGAGGAUCCGAGCGUUAUCCGGCUUUAUUGGGUUUAAAGGGAGCGUAGGUGGCUUGUUAAGUCAGUUGUGCACGUUUGCGGCUCAACCGUAAAAUUGCAGUUGAAACUGGCAGUCUUGCGUACAGUAGCGGUGGGCGUAAUUCGUGGUGUAGCGGUG